GCCGGGCGUGGUGACACAUGCCUAUAAUUCCAGCCACUCGGGAGGCUGAGGCAGGAGGAUCGUGAGUUAGAAGCCAGCCUUUCAGCAACAUUGAGGUGCUAAGUAACUCAGUGAGACCCUGUCUCUA
rnacentral:sRNA from 1 species